CCCCAGUUAUGGAACAUGGCAUCAAAUGUUGCCAAUGGAGAUGAGCAUCAAACAGAGAGGAGGAGAAUAACCAUGAUGGGGUGUAUAUAUUGGGAGGUGCUCUCCUUGAUGUUUGCUCACUUAGGUUUUAUGACAACAAUGCAGGGGUAAAUAUGACAACUAUCAUGGAAGGAUUGUCCAAACUAGAGAGCAUCAGGCCUGUAAGGUCCAGGGCACAUUCUGUCGGGAGUUGGCAGCAGGAGACGACAGCUCUUCACGCCUGCCCCGCGUUCCUGCCCUCUGCCCUGGUAAUAGCCUCUUAUUUCCUGCUGGGGAUCGUCUACAGCAGGAGAGUGUCGAUGCUCACAGUCUCCAGCACAUGGGC